rnacentral:rRNA from 1 species
GAUGAACGCUGGCGGCGUGCCUAAUACAUGCAAGUAGAACGCUGAAGCUUGGUGCUUGCACCGAGCGGAUGAGUUGCGAACGGGUGAGUAACGCGUAGGUAACCUGCCUCUUAGCGGGGGAUAACUAUUGGAAACGAUAGCUAAUACCGCAUAAAAGUCGAUAUCGCAUGAUAUUGAUUUGAAAGGUGCAAUUGCAUCACUAAGAGAUGGACCUGCGUUGUAUUAGCUAGUUGGUGAGGUAACGGCUCACCAAGGCGACGAUACAUAGCCGACCUGAGAGGGUGAUCGGCCACACUGGGACUGAGACACGGCCCAGACUCCUACGGGAGGCAGCAGUAGGGAAUCUUCGGCAAUGGGGGCAACCCUGACCGAGCAACGCCGCGUGAGUGAAGAAGGUUUUCGGAUCGUAAAGCUCUGUUGUAAGAGAAGAACGAGUGUGAGAGUGGAAAGUUCACAC